CUUGGCUGUGGCGCCUCAUCCGAAGGCGAACUCGUUUAUCCGAAAUGUUCCGAACAAAUUAGAACACGUGCUACGAAAAGCACGAAGGUCGUAACGUCGCUCUUAGACAGUGAAACGUUGUUUGCCAUUGGUGCUUAAAGGACGUGUUUGUGAGCACAUUGUGAAGAUGGACAGAUGGGAUGACGUGUGCACAUAUACAGCCAAGCAGUCCUAUCCAGUGUAUAGUCUGAAGAAUGCUACAGCAUGUUUCCUUGAGAGAAUACAAACACAUCUGGACUCAGCAAGUUGUGCUGACAAACUUCUAGACUGUUUUAAAUAUUUGUACUUGUACUUUAUCAUUAUCUGAAACUACAGUGAGAGUGUGAAUAAGAAACUGUCCCAGUGCAAUGACUUUGAAUGUGUACUCGAACCUGAUGAUGGUCAUAUUGGGCAGAAGAAUGUAGUUUAAAAUGAAUGAAACUGAUAAUUGUGUAAAGGUGACUCACAGGGAUCAACAAAACACACUGCAGAUGUUAAAGAUGUCCCUGCUAGGAAUGAAACCCCAGCUGUAGUCUACAGCCAGUCACUUUACUGACAGAACUAUCAUGGGUCAUACUUAUAAAUUAGUUACUUAUCUAUUUAUUAUAUAUUCAGGGAAAAUAUAAAAAAAGCUUUUACCUGGAAAAAAUACUAUUAUGAAGGGGUGAAUAUUUUAUUCAUAAGUGCUUAGUUUCUGUCCAGCCGUUUUAAGUUAAUGGUUUAUAAUUUGAUAUUAACUUAAAACUGGGCUUGUUUGUUUGUGUAUAUACACACAUACAAACUGAACUGAACAGAUUUAUAGUUUCAUAUUAACAGGUAUUUAACUUUAAUUGUUAGAAACAAAACUUCCUUAUGUCAUAAUUCCUGAGCAGCACUUUGACACCAGCAACCUGUAUUAAUGUCACAACACACAUAAAUAAAAUACCACCUUACCCCAAAAUGAUGUGGAUGGUUUGGCACAGGCGCUGGUAUUCCUUGAUAUUGCAAAUUGUAUACAGGAGGCCUCCUACAUAAAAAAGAAACAAAUUACUGAAAUUGACACUAACAACUAUUAUUUUACAAGUGUUAUGAUGGAGUUAUAUUAGUUAUGCAUCUCCCUUCAACAACCACUAAGUGACAAAAUGGUUAAAUAUCUCUAUUCUGAAAUUAAGAAAAAAAUAAUUAUGUUUCUUCAGUUGAUAUUUUUAUGUGGAAUAUAUGUAAAAUGUGUCACGAGUAUUUUCAGUACAACCCUGAUUUAACAUAUUUAAAUUAAAUGAACUAUUCCCAUUUAGUAUUGAAUUGUUAUGGUACCAGUUCCAGACCACAUUGUUAAAUUCCCUGUUUUUAAUUCACAAUAUCAACUAUCCCACAGGGAUUUCAUAUAAUUAAAGAAUGAUAUUUUAAAUUUAAAAUACUAAGUAUCUUAUUGGAUAUAGGCAAAUAUAAAACUCCAUCAAUCAUUCAUUUAACUUUUUUCAGAUGGAAAUAGAACAUAAAUUUGUGGCAGUGCUCUUCGCAUGAAAAAAAGUUAAAGUACUAAAGUCUGUAACCAAGGUCCACUGUCAGAAUAUAAAACCAGAUUUUCAAUAUAAAAUAAUAAGAAUCCAGUCUGUAAAUGCAAUUUGAUCAUAAUUUUUUAUUUUUUCCCUUUACUUGCUCCAAAUGUAUAAAUUCAGCUAUUAUGUUAAAGCACCAAUUGUGUCAGUCCUAAUCAAUAAGGUACACGUAAAACAGCCAUGAAAGCUAACCUUGAACAGGAUUCUGGAUUCCUGUUAUUCUUAUUCAGUUCAGUGUAGCACAAGUUUUAUGUAAGUUAUCAUUAGACUAGCUAGACCAGACAUAGCAGAGGAUGUGAUCAUAAUUCCAGUCUUACCUUUACAGUGCACCUACUGUUUUCACAAACAAGAGUCUGACAACUAAGCCAAAGAAACAGAACCAUUAAGCACAUCUUACCAUACCCUCAUACAGGUUAAAACAAAUCACAGAAAAGGAAUCCUAUGUGCUGACCUGUAUCCACUUCCUGUAUGUACUUCCAUUCAGUGAAAAUAUAUGGCUAAGCUGCAGUUCUGCAACUGUGAUAACAAAAUCUUUUCAGCGAUAAAAAAAAUCCACAGGAAAUAAAGUAGUGUUUUCUUGUUUA